ACUUUUAUAUCCGGAUUCUUAGAACGGACUCAGAGUUCCACGGUUCCUGACGCGGUUAGCACAUGCGCGACGGCUCUGCUCCCUCUUCCUCCACUUCCACUAUCCUCCACGGUCCGGGGAGCCGCCGCCACCGCCGCGGAGGAGUCAGGAAGUUCAAGAUGGCCGCCGCGGAGGCUCAGUCUCUGCGGGAACAGCCAGAGACAGAAGAUGCCAAUAAUUCUGAAAAGAGUGUAAAUGAAGAAAAUGGAGAAGUAUCAGAAGACCAAUCUCAAAAUAAGCAUAGUCGUCACAAAAAAAAGAAGCAUAAACACAGAAGUAAACAUAAGAAACAUAAACAUUCCUCAGAAGAAGACAAGGAUAAAAAACAUAAACAUAAGCAUAAACAUAAGAAACACAAAAGAAAAGAGGUUAUUGAUGCUUCAGACAAAGAAGGUAUGUCUCCAGCAAAAAGAACUAAACUUGAUGAUUUAGCGUUGCUGGAAGACUUGGAAAAACAGAGAGCCUUGAUUAAAGCUGAACUUGAUAAUGAGUUAAUGGAAGGAAAGGUCCAGUCUGGGAUGGGGCUCAUAUUACAAGGUUAUGAGUCUGGCUCUGAAGAAGAGGGGGAAAUUCAUGAAAAGGCAAGAAAUGGAAAUAGGUCUAGUAUUAGAUCUUCAACUAUAAAGGGGAAACUUGAACUUAUGGACAAUAAAAAUAGUACAAAAAAGCGAAGUAAAAGCAGAUCCAAAGAACGGACUAGACAUAGGUCUGAUAAAAAGAAAAGUAAGGGAGGUGUUGAAGUAGUUAAAGAGAAGACAACCAGGAGCAAAUCAAAGGAGAGGAAAAAGUCCAAAAGUCCAUCCAAAAGAAGUAAGUCUCAAGAUCAAGCAAGAAAAUCAAAAUCUCCUACCCUUAGAAGACGAUCUCAAGAGAAAAUUGGGAAGGCCAGGUCUCCUACUGAUGACAAGGUUAAAAUUGAAGAUAAAAGUAAGUCAAAAGAUAGGAAAAAGUCCCCAAUUAUAAAUGAAAGUAGAAGUCGUGAUCGAGGCAAAAAAUCCAGAUCCCCAGUUGACUUAAGAGGUAAAUCCAAAGACAGAAGGUCACGAUCCAAAGAAAGAAAGUCAAAACGGUCUGAAACUGAUAAAGAAAAGAAGCCGAUUAAAUCUCCCUCUAAAGAUGCUUCUUCUGGAAAAGAAAAUAGGUCACCUAGUAGACGACCUGGUCGUAGUCCUAAAAGAAGAAGUUUGUCUCCAAAACAACGUGAUAAAUCAAGAAGAAGUAGAUCUCCACUUUUAAAUGAUAGGCGUUCUAAGCAGAGCAAAUCACCUUCUCGAACUCUGUCUCCUGGUAGAAGAGCCAAGAGCCGAUCCUUGGACAGAAAACGAAGAGAACCAGAAAGAAGACGACUUUCUUCUCCAAGAACGCGACCUCGAGAUGAUAUCCUCAGUAGACGUGAAAGAUCAAAAGAUGCCAGCCCAAUCAAUAGGUGGUCUCCAACCCGAAGAAGAGCAAGUAGAUCCCCCAUUAGAAGGAGGUCUCGUUCCCCACUCAGACGUAGCAGGUCUCCCAGAAGAAGAAGCAGAUCUCCUCGGAGAAGAGAUAGAGGUCGAAGGAGCAGAUCCCGGCUGAGAAGGCGGUCUCGAUCACGAGGUGGUCGUAGACGUAGGAGCAGAAGCAAAAUAAAGGAAGAUAAAUUUAAAGGAAGUCUUUCUGAAGGAAUGAAAGUUGAGCAAGAAUCUUCAUCUGAUGAUAACCUUGAAGACUUUGAUGUAGAGGAAGAAGAUGAAGAGGCUCUAAUAGAACAGAGAAGAAUACAAAGGCAAGCAAUUGUUCAGAAAUAUAAGUAUCUCGCUGAAGAUAGCAAUAUGUCUGUGCCAUCUGAACCAAGCAGCCCCCAGAGCAGUACUCGUACACGGUCACCUUCUCCAGACGACAUUCUGGAAAGGGUAGCUGCUGAUGUUAAAGAGUAUGAACGAGAAAAUGUUGAUACAUUUGAGGCCUCAGUAAAAGCCAAGCAUAAUCUAAUGACAGUUGAACAAAAUAAUGGUUCAUCUCAAAAGAAGCUGUUGGCACCUGAUAUGUUUACAGAAUCUGAUGAUAUGUUUGCCGCAUAUUUUGAUAGUGCUCGUCUUCGGGCUGCUGGCAUUGGAAAAGAUUUUAAAGAGAAUCCCAACCUCAGGGAUAAUUGGACAGAUGCAGAAGGCUAUUAUCGUGUGAACAUAGGCGAAGUACUAGAUAAGCGCUACAAUGUAUAUGGCUACACUGGUCAAGGUGUAUUCAGUAAUGUUGUACGAGCCAGAGAUAAUGCAAGAGCCAACCAAGAAGUGGCUGUAAAGAUCAUCAGAAACAAUGAGCUCAUGCAAAAAACUGGUUUAAAAGAACUAGAAUUCUUGAAAAAACUUAAUGAUGCUGAUCCUGAUGACAAAUUCCAUUGUUUGCGGCUCUUCAGACACUUUUAUCACAAACAGCAUCUCUGUCUCGUAUUUGAGCCCCUCAGUAUGAAUUUACGAGAGGUGUUAAAAAAAUAUGGUAAGGAUGUUGGUCUUCAUAUUAAAGCUGUAAGAUCCUAUAGUCAGCAGUUGUUCUUGGCAUUGAAACUCCUUAAAAGAUGCAAUAUCCUACAUGCAGAUAUCAAGCCAGACAAUAUCCUGGUUAAUGAAUCAAAAACUAUUUUAAAGCUCUGCGAUUUUGGUUCGGCUUCACAUGUUGCGGAUAAUGACAUAACGCCUUAUCUUGUCAGUAGAUUUUAUCGUGCUCCUGAAAUCAUUAUAGGUAAAAGCUAUGACUAUGGUAUAGAUAUGUGGUCUGUAGGUUGUACCUUAUAUGAACUCUAUACUGGAAAAAUUUUAUUUCCCGGCAAAACCAAUAACCAUAUGUUGAAGCUCGCCAUGGAUCUCAAAGGAAAGAUGCCAAAUAAGAUGAUUCGGAAAGGCGUAUUCAAAGACCAACAUUUUGAUCAAAACCUAAACUUCAUGUACAUAGAAGUUGAUAAAGUAACAGAGAGGGAGAAAGUUACUGUCAUGAGCACCAUUAAUCCAACUAAGGACCUGUUGGCUGACUUGAUUGGGUGCCAGCGACUUCCUGAAGACCAACGUAAAAAAGUACAUCAGCUAAAGGACUUGUUGGACCAGAUUCUAAUGUUGGACCCAGCUAAACGAAUUAGCAUCAACCAGGCCCUACAGCAUGCCUUUAUCCAGGAAAAAAUUUAAGCGAGAUGAAGAAGCUCCAAGGGUUUGAGUAAUUAAAUACAAAGACUGAAGAAAUUUCACAGCAGUUUAUUAAUGUAUAUAAACUUAUAAAUAUUUCUCCAGCAAAUUUGAGAAAGCAUGAUAUAUUUGAAUUAAAACCAAGGGUGAUAUUUCUUUUAGAAAUGUUAGUUAAUCUGUUUUGUGUCUUAUGUGAAAUUUCACUGUAGAACUGUUUUAACUGCCAAGACUGCACAAAAUUACAGUGCUAAUGUAUAUGGUUGCAGUUCACAUAAAAGACAAAAGCAUCUGUUAUAAAAUAAGUAGUAAUACUGGGUGGUUGAUUUAUUUUUAGCAGACUUGGCUUCAUUUUGGUCUUCAGGUAAAAUGGCCAGCAUAAAUGCUGUUUAUAUUCACGUUUUCCUAGGUAUGUGUGUGCAGGCCACAGCAGCAUGCCCUUGGUGUAGUCAGUGCCGAAGGGAGUCUGUUCCUUCUUGAGCCUGCCUGCAGGGAUGGUCUCCUCUUUUAAGCAGGUUGUGUACAACAUUCAGUACACUGAAGGUAAGCUAAACCAUCAACAUCACUGGUGUUUUGCGAUGUUAUUUUAUUGGAGCAAUUGACAAAUGAGGGAUAUUAGCUUUGUGGCAGAAUUCCCUGCAUGUGUGAUAACUGAUCUUGUUUUAUUUUUUGGCAUUGCAACUGUGGCAUAGUUACAAUUUCUGUUCUGUUCAUCACAUUUAAAAUUUGAAGAGUAUGCGCUUGAUGGAUAGAGCGCCUUCAGUGUACUGUUUCUUAUUAACUUAAUUUUUUUUAAUCAACUUGCUAUAGACUUUAUAUACAUUUUGUUAAAUACAGUUCCUAGUGACAUAGAAACAAUGCAUAGUUUUCAUUUACUAACUACAGAUGUUGAGGCGUAAUUCUGAAAGUCCUCAUAUUUAAAAGUUAGACAACAUAAUGAAAUUUUUAACUAUUUGUAUGUCAUUUUGAAAGUGUACUGCUUUAUGGUAAAAGUGUUUUUCAUUUGUUCAUUGUUUUCAUUAUUUGUGAUCAUGUUGUCUUUCAAUACAGGCAUAAACCUUCCACUCUUGAACAAAGCAGCUGCUUUUUAAAAGCGAGAAAAAAGGAAAACGGGGCACAGGCCAUUCAACGCCUUCUCCAAGGGGUCUGAUUUGCUGAGACACCAGCUUCACCUUCUUAACAAGGUUAUUUCUGACAGCAUGUGUAGAUAAACAUUUAGCAACAGUUUAAAACAAAAUCAUGUAAAUCCACUUGGUUUUGCAACACAAAGGAAUUCGUAUUUUUAACAUGAUAGAAGAGAAUUUUCAAAAAUUUAAUCUUUUCUGUUUGGGUGGUAAAAUUAAUUCUUGUCUCCCUGAGGAAUAUGGAAAAUAAUCAGAUUUUAGGGGUUCAAAUAAUAUUUUUAAAUUGUAAAUGGGAUUUUUUUAUUCACCCAGGCACCUAAUUACAACAAGCAUGCACAUUUUGGUGCAUUCAAGAAUGGAAAAUCAGAAUAGCAGCAUUCUUCUGGUGGGUUUUGCUCCAUUUAAAGACAUGAAAUGAACUACAGCCAGGAAGGUGAUAGA